UGAACAUUGAGCCUUGAUGUGUAGGAUAGGUGGGAGGCUUUGAAGUGUGGACGCCAGUCUGCAUGGAGCCGACCUUGAAAUACCACCCUUUAAUGUUUGAUGUUCUAACGUUGACCCGUGAUCCGGGUUGCGGACAGUGUCUGGUGGGUAGUUUGACUGGGGCGGUCUCCUCCUAAAGAGUAACGGAGGAGCACGAAGGUUGGCUAAUCCUGGUCGGACAUCA
rnacentral:rRNA from 1 species